CAUUAGAUGGCUGAAAGUAAGCAAUGGAAUUUUAAAUCAUGACAUAGUAUCUAACGUAUACUUCUAAUG
rnacentral:tRNA from 1 species